GUUAUUUUGGCAGAAUAGUGCAUUGGAUUUAGAAUCUUUUAAAUGUAAUUUAAUUUACAUAUAACA
rnacentral:tRNA from 1 species